UGUAAGCGUAUACCAAAGUUGUUGCAGUUAAAACGCUCGUAGUAGGAAUUUGGCAGUUCCGGAAGUGUGCACGUCGUGUGCGCACUUUGCGGGGACUGCUUUUGUGGUCUUGCGUAGGAUGAGGCACUUUCAUUAGUGAACGUCCUCACGCAACCACUCUUUACUGUGAGAAAAUCAGAGUGCUCAAAGCAGGCAUUUGCCGUGAAUGUAUUAGCAUGGAAUAAUAGAAUAGGACUCGGUUCUAUUUUGUUGGUUUGUUGGGACUGAGUAAUGAUUAAGAGGGACAGUUGGGGGCAUUUGUAUUCCGGCGCUAGAGGUGAAAUUCUUAGAUUGCCGGAAGACAAACUGCUGCGAAAGCGUCUGCCAAGGAUGUUUUCAUUGA
rnacentral:rRNA from 1 species